rnacentral:rRNA from 1 species
UACAGAGGUCUCAAGCGUUGUUCGGAUUCAUUGGGCGUAAAGGGCGCGUAGGCGGCGGGGUCAGUCGGGUGUGAAAUCUCGGGGCUUAACCCCGAAACGGCACUCGAAACUGCCCGGCUGGAGGGCCGGAGAGGAGAUCGGAAUUCACGGUGUAGCAGUGAAAUGCGUAGAGAUCGUGAGGAAGACCCGUGGCGAAGGCGGAUCUCUGGACGGCUAACUGACGCUGAGGCGCGAAGGCCAGGGGAGCAAACGGG